GACGAACGCUGGCGGCGUGCUUAACACAUGCAAGUCGAACGGAAAGGCCCUGCUUUUGUGGGGUGCUCGAGUGGCGAACGGGUGAGUAACACGUGAGUAACCUGCCCUUGACUUUGGGAUAACUUCAGGAAACUGGGGCUAAUACCGGAUAGGAGCUCCUGCUGCAUGGUGGGGGUUGGAAAGUUUCGGCGGUUGGGGAUGGACUCGCGGCUUAUCAGCUUGUUGGUGGGGUAGUGGCUUACCAAGGCUUUGACGGGUAGCCGGCCUGAGAGGGUGACCGGACACAUUGGGACUGAGAUACGGCCCAGACUCCUACGGGAGGCAGCAGUGGGGAAUAUUGCACAAUGGGCGGAAGCAUGAUGCAGCAACGCCGCGUGCGGGAUGACGGCCUUCGGGUUGUAAACCGCUUUCGCCUGUGACGAAGCGUGAGUGACGGUAAUGGGUAAAGAAGCACCGGCUAACUACGUG
rnacentral:rRNA from 1 species